GACGAACGCUGGCGGCGUGCCUAAUACAUGCAAGUUGAGCGCUGAAGGUUUGUGCUUGUACCAACUGGAUGAGCAGCUAACGGGCGAGUAACGCGUGCGGCAUCUGCCUUUUUGUGGGGGACAACAUUUGAGAACGAAUGCUACUACUGCAUCAAAACUUUUAACACUAGAUUUAAGUUUUAUUGAUGCCUUUCCCUCACUCAAAGAUCAUCCCGCGUUGUAUUAGCUAGCUGGUGAGGUAAAGGCUCACCAAGGCGGAGAUACAUAGCCGACCUGAGAGGGUGGUCGGCCAAAUUGGGAAGUGGGAACGGCCCAAACUCCUAAGGGAGGGAGCAGGAGGGAAUCUUUGGAAAAGGACGAAAGGCUUACCGAGCAACGCCGGGGGAGGGAAGGAGGUUUUCGGAGCGGAAAACUCGGUUGGUAGGGAAGGACGUUGGUGAGGGUAGAAAGCUCAUCAAGUGACGGUAACUACACAGAAAGCGACGGCUAACUACGUG
rnacentral:rRNA from 1 species